UGGGGAAUAUUGCACAAUGGGCGCAAGCCUGAUGCAGCCAUGCCGCGUGUAUGAAGAAGGCCUUCGGGUUGUAAAGUACUUUCAGCGGGGAGGAAGGGAGUAAAGUUAAUACCUUUGCUCAUUGACGUUACCCGCAGAAGAAGCACCGGCUAACUCCGUGCCAGCAGCCGCGGUAAUACGGAGGGUGCAAGCGUUAAUCGGAAUUACUGGGCGUAAAGCGCACGCAGGCGGUUUGUUAAGUCAGAUGUGAAAUCCCCGGGCUCAACCUGGGAACUGCAUCUGAUACUGGGAAGCUUGAGUCUCGUAGAGGGGGGUAGAAUUCCAGGGGUAGCGGUGAAAUGCGUAGAGAUCUGGAGGAAUACCGGUGGCGAAGGCGGCCCCCUGGACGAAGACUGACGCUCAGGUGCGAAAGCGUGGGGAGCAAACAGG
rnacentral:rRNA from 1 species